CCCUUGGUAGCUCAGCUGGAAAAGUGUCAGACUUUUAAUCUGAAGGUCCAGGGUUCAAGUCCCUAUUUAGGCA